UGUCGUCAGCUCGUGUUGUGAAAUGUUGGGUUAAGUCCCGCAACGAGCGCAACCCUUAUCCUUUGUUGCCAGCGGUCCGGCCGGGAACUCAAAGGAGACUGCCAGUGAUAAACUGGAGGAAGGUGGGGAUGACGUCAAGUCAUCAUGGCCCUUACGACCAGGGCUACACACGUGCUACAAUGGCGCAUACAAAGAGAAGCGACCUCGCGAGAGCAAGCGGACCUCAUAAAGUGCGUCGUAGUCCGGAUUGGAGUCUGCAACUCGACUCCAUGAAGUCGGAAUCGCUAGUAAUCGUGGAUCAGAAUGCCACGGUGAAUACGUUCCCGGGCCUUGUACACACCGCCCGUCACACCAUGGGAGUGGGUUGCAAAAGAAGUAGGUAGCUUAACCUUC
rnacentral:rRNA from 1 species